CCUCUUUUCAAAAGAAAAAAUAUGGCACAGGUAUAGGCGAAGGCAUCCCCUUAUGUGAUAACNGACGUUGAGGGACGANGGCGACGUGGAACAAACAGGAUUAGAUACCCUCGUAGUUGUAGCAGAAAAUGAUGAAUGUCAUAGAUNAGAUGUAUAAGUUUAUUCUAUAAAUGAAAGUGURAGCAUUCCACCUCNAGAGUAAUUUGGCAACAUUGGAACUGAAAUCAUUAGACCGUUUCUGAAACCCGUAGUGAAGUAUGUUGUUUAAUUUGAUGAUCCGCAAAAAACCUUACCACAAUUUGAAUAUAUAUAUAAUUUAUUGUUUUUUCAUAUUUUUGUGUCUAGAAGAUUAAGAAAAAGGCAAUAAAAUAUAUUUACCACGCGUUGCACGGCGGUCUUCAGUUAAUGUCGUGAGACUUUGGUUAGUUCCAUUAAAUUAACGUAAACCCUUAGSNUUAUUUUUAGAUAAAGUAGUUCUCCGCUAUAUUGGAUAAGAUUA
rnacentral:rRNA from 1 species